rnacentral:rRNA from 1 species
GAGAUCCCCCACACUGGUACUGAGACACGGACCAGACUCCUACGGGAGGCAGCAGUGAGGAAUAUUGGACAAUGGGCGCAAGCCUGAUCCAGCCAUGCCGCGUGCAGGAUUAAGGUCUUAUGGAUUGUAAACUGCUUUUAUACGAGAAGAAACGCUACUUCGUGAAGUAGUUUGACGGUAUCGUAAGAAUAAGGAUCGGCUAACUCCGUGCCAGCAGCCGCGGUAAUACGGAGGAUCCAAGCGUUAUCCGGAAUCAUUGGGUUUAAAGGGUCCGUAGGCGGUUUGGUAAGUCAGUGGUGAAAUCCCAUCGCUCAACGGUGGAACUGCCAUUGAUACUGCUAGACUUGAAUUAUUAGGAAGUAACUAGAAUAUGUAGUGUAGCGGUGAAAUGCUUAGAGAUUACAUGGAAUACCAAUUGCGAAGGCAGGUUACUACUAAUAUAUUGACGCUGAUGGACGAAAGCGUGGGUAGCGAACAGGAUUAGAUACCCUGGUAGUCCACGCCGUAAACGAUGGAUACUAGCUGUUGGGGGCAACUUCAGUGGCUAAGCGAAAGUGAUAAGUAUCCCACCUGGGGAGUACGAACGCAAGUUUGAAACUCAAAGGAAUUGACGGGGGCCCGCACAAGCGUUGGAGCAUGUGGUUUAAUUCGAUGCAACGCG